GGAGCAGGUCCCAAGGGUUGGGCUGUUCGCCCAUUAAAGCGGUACGCGAGCUGGGUUUAGAACGUCGUGAGACAGUUCGGUCCCUAUCCUCUGUAGCCGUAGGAGAUUUGAGAAAGGCUGUCCCUAGUACGAGAGGACCGGGAUGGACGCAGCUCUCGUGUGCCAGUUGUUCCGCCAGGAGCAUGGCUGGUUGGCGACCUGCGGAAAGGAUAAGCGCUGAAAGCAUCUAAGCGCGAAACCUGUUUCGAGAUGAGAUCUCCCACUGGAUAACCAGGUAAGGCCCGUGGCAGACCACCACGUUGAUAGGCCGGAUGUGUAAGCACGGUAACGUGUUCAGCAGACCGGUACUAAUCGGCCGAGGGCUUGGGCUC
rnacentral:rRNA from 1 species